rnacentral:lncRNA from 1 species
UUAAUAGAAUAGACUCAAAUUUACCAUUACAGUUCAUUGUGUUCCCUACUCUCCAUUCUUCUACAGGGGUUACAGUUCAGAGUGAGGACUUAGUUGAAUGGUCUUUUCUGCCUCACAAUACUGUUAGAACACUCACAGUAUACUUGGAUCAGAUGGCAAUCUUGAUUGGGCAAGCUCACCUUAGAGUUGUUAAACUUUGUGGCUCAGAUCCAGAUAAGAUUAUAGUUCCAAUGAAUAAAAAUCAGAUUUGGAAAGCCUUUGUUAAUUCAGUCAAUUGGCAAAUAGAUUUAGCUGGCUUCAUUGGAGUUCUUGAUAAUCUGAAGGGGUGGCCUGCCCCUCCACACCUGUGGGUAUUUCUAGUCAGGUGGGAUGGGAGACUGAGAAAAGAAAUAAGACACAGUGACAAAGUAUAGAGAAACAACAGUGGGCCCAGGAGAGCGGCACUCGGCACACCAAGGACCUGCACCGGCACCGGUCUCUGAGUUCCCUCAGUUUUUAUUGAUUAUUAUUUUCAUGAUUUCAGCAGAAAGGAAUGUAGUAGGAGAGCAGGGUGAUAAUAAGGAGAAGGUCAGCAAAAAGCAUGUGAGCAAAGGAAUCUAUGUCAUAAUUAAGUUCAAGGGAAAGUACUAUGCCUGGAUGUGCACAUAGGCCAGAUUUAUGUUUCUCUCCACCCAAACAUCUCAGUGGAGUAAAGAAUAACAAGGCAGCAUUGCUGCCAACAUGUCUCACCUCCCACCAUAGGGCGGUUUUUCUCCUAUCUCAGAAUUGAACAAAUGUACAAUCGGGUUUUAUACCAAGACGUUCAGUUCCCAGGGGCAGGCAGGAGACAGUGGCCUUCCUCUAUCUCAACUGCAAGAGGCUUUCCUCUUUUACCAAUCCACCUCAGCACAGACCCUUUACGGGUGUCGGGCUGGGGGACAGUCAGGUCUUUCUCAUCUCAUGAGGCCAUAUUUCCGACUAUCACAUGGGGAGAAACCUUGGACGAUACCCAGCUUUCAAGGGCAGAGUUCCCUGUGGGUUUCUGCAGUGCAUUAUGCCUGUGGUUUGUUGACACUAGAGAAUGGCAAUGACUUUUGCCAAGUAUACUGCUUGUAAACAUUUUGUUAACAAGGCACAUCCUGCACAGCCCUAGAUCCCUUAAACCUUGACUUCAUACAACACAUGUUUUUAUGAGCUCCAGGUUGGGUCAAAGUGGCUGGGGCAAAACUACAAAUUAACAACAUCUGAGCAAAGCAAUUGUUCAAAGUACAGGUCUUUUUCAAAAUGGAGUCUCUUAUGUCUUCCCUUUCUACAUAGACACAGUAACAGUCUGAUCUCUCUUUUCU